rnacentral:rRNA from 1 species
AACGAACGCUGGCGGCAGGCUUAACACAUGCAAGUCGAACGGUUGUAGCAAUACAGCAGUGGCAGACGGGUGAGUAACACGUGGGAACCUUCCUAGAGGUACGGAACAACGCAGGGAAACUUGCGCUAAUACCGUAUACGCUCGUGAGAGGAAAGAUUUAUCGCCUUUAGACGGGCCCGCGUCGGAUUAGGUAGUUGGUGGGGUAACGGCCUACCAAGCCGACGAUCCGUAGCUGAUCUGAGAGGAUGAUCAGCCACACUGGGACUGAGACACGACCCAGACUCCUACGGGAGGCAGCAGUGGGGAAUCUUGGACAAUGGGCGCAAGCCUGAUCCAGCCAUGCCGCGUGAGUGAAGAAGGCCUUAGGGUUGUAAAGCUCUUUUGCCAGGGACGAUAAUGACGGUACCUGGAGAAUAAGCCCCGGCAAACUUCGUGCCAGCAGCCGCGGUAACAC